GGCGGCCUACACAUGCAAGUCGAACGCACCGCCAGGUGAGUGGCGCACGGGUGGAGUAACACGUGGGAACGUACCUCGAAGUACGGGAUAACUGUUGGAAACGACAGCUAAUACCGUAUACGCCCUUUUGGGGAAAGAUUUAUCGCUUCGAGAUCGGCCCGCGUCCGAUUAGCUUGUUGGUGAGGUAACGGCUCACCAAGGCUACGAUCGGUAGCUGGUCUGAGAGGAUGAUCAGCCACACUGGGACUGAGACACGGCCCAGACUCCUACUGGAGGCAGCAGUGGGGAAUAUUGCGCAAUGGGGGGAACCUGACGCAGCCAUGCCGCGUGAGUGAUGAAGGCCUUCUGGUUGUCAAGCUCUUUCAGAUGUGACAAUGAUGACGGUAACAUCAUCAACAAGCCUCGGCUAACUUCGUGGCAGCCGCAGCGGUAAUACGAAGGGGGGCAAGCGUUGUUCAGGAAUUACUGGACGUAAAGAGCGCGUACGCGGCCAGAUCAGUCGAUGCGUGAAAUCCCGCGGAAUCUACUCCAGGUACUGCCCUUGAUACUCUCGGCCUAGAAUCCGUGAUAAAUCGUGGAUUCCCAGUGCAAAGGUGAAAUUCAUAGUUUUCCUAGGACACCUUGGGCAAGGCGCCACUGGUGCGCCUUGACUCUCAGGCUCUCAGCGGAGGAGCGAACCGAUUAAAUACCUGGCCCCCACGCGGUAACCAAUGAGAGAAGGUGUCGGGUCUCGAUUUCUGGGCCGAAACU
rnacentral:rRNA from 1 species